rnacentral:lncRNA from 1 species
UCGAAUAUCAUCUUUAAAAUGAACCCUAUGAAACAUAUGGCUAAACCCAGAAUUUCUUUCUAUUCAAUUUUUUCCUUAAAAGUGAACUUUAUCCAAAAUUGCGAGGAAAUGGUGUCGAAGAGCACAAAGAAUAGACAACAAAGGACAAGAAUGCUAGAAAAUAGCAUUUAACCUCGGGCAACUUUGGGUUCGAUUUUCUGGGGUCAGUGCUAUAGAAUGGCAAGAGAUCUAGCACUCAAGCUUCAUUGGAAGAGAGAACCAAGCCAACCAUGUGAAUCCAUUUUAAUACUCCCAAUUUUGGCUCUAAAAGAUCCCAUUUUUUCCCUUUCUAUUUGUUGGAACAUAGAUUCUCAACGCCUAGGAUUCUGAAUAUUUUAGACAUCUUUCUAUUUGUAUUGAUAGGAGGGGAGUUUGGGUUAGGACUGUUUCAUGUUUUGCAAUCUUUCAAAAUGCCAAGUAAUGUAUCUUCCCUGUGUUUUUCUUUUUUGUUUCUUGUCAGUAUUUUUUUUUUAUUUCCCUGGUGUCACUCUAAGUUUAAAUUUUAGUAAUUGACAUGGAACCGUGCAUGUUGUAUGUCGGAUAUAUUGCAUUAGUUAUUCCUUUUACGAUGUUUUGACUUUGGCACAUGCAUGCCUACAUAUUCUUCUAAUAAUCUUCAUAUAUCAAGUCAUUCAUUCAUUGUCACGUAAAAUACUGAACUGUCUUUUAACACUUUUUUUUUUAUAUUUGUUGAUUUGGUAUUGGAAUGCCGCUCUGACAUUCUUUUCACUCUAUUUAUUUUUCUAUGUUAAUCAAAAUUCAACUCUCUAUAUAUCUUCCGCAUGAGUGAUUAAAAUUUUAUAUUGAUAACUUGAUGUCUAGAGUUGAAGCUUUAACAAUGAAAUCCCCAAUUUGUAAUGUAUCAAAAAAGAGAGAAACUUCAACUCUAAAAUUUGCUUAUAUCUUUUAAUUGGAUCCAUGAUUAUUACAUUGAAAAGUUUUAUUUUCAUUUCUUAGCACCAUUACAGAAUCGCACUUUUUGUAAUUGAAGCUACCUAAAUUAAAAGGGGAGGUGGCCUUCAAAGAUUUAUAAAAGAGAAGAUGAUAGAUUGAGC